rnacentral:rRNA from 1 species
AACAGGAUUAGAUACCCUGGUAGUCCACGCCGUAAACGAUGUCUACUUGGAGGCUGUGCCCUUGAGGCGUGGCUUCCGGAGCUAACGCGUUAAGUAGACCGCCUGGGGAGUACGGCCGCAAGGUUAAAACUCAAAUGAAUUGACGGGGGCCCGCACAAGCGGUGGAGCAUGUGGUUUAAUUCGAUGCAACGCGAAGAACCUUACCUACUCUUGACAUCCAGAGAACUUAGCAGAGAUGCUUUGGUGCCUUCGGGAACUCUGAGACAGGUGCUGCAUGGCUGUCGUCAGCUCGUGUUGUGAAAUGUUGGGUUAAGUCCCGCAACGAGCGCAACCCUUAUCCUUUGUUGCCAGCGAUUCGGUCGGGAACUCAAAGGAGACUGCCAGUGAUAAACUGGAGGAAGGUGGGGAUGACGUCAAGUCAUCAUGGCCCUUACGAGUAGGGCUACACACGUGCUACAAUGGCGCAUACAAAGAGAAGCGACCUCGCGAGAGCAAGCGGACCUCAUAAAGUGCGUCGUAGUCCGGAUUGGAGUCUGCAACUCGACUCCAUGAAGUCGGAAUCGCUAGUAAUCGUGGAACAGAAUGCCACGGUGAAUACAUUCCCGGGCCUUGUACACACCGCCCGUCACACCAUGGGAGUGGGUUGCAAAAGAAGUAGGUAGCUUAACCUUCGGGAGGGCGCUUACCACUUUGUGAUUCAUGACUGGGGUGAAGUCGUAACAAGGUAACC